AGCAGCCGCGGUAAUUCCAGCUCCAAUAGCGUAUAUUAAAGUUGCUGCAGUUAAAAAGCUCGUAGUUGAAUUUCGGGAUCGAUAUAUCGGUCGUGCCUCGGUACGUACUGGUAUUUUCGGUUUCUCCCUUCUGACGAACCUUGAUGUCAUUAAUUUGGUGUCUUGGGGAAUCAGGACUGUUACUUUGAAAAAAUUAGAGUGUUUAAAGCAGGCUCGCGCUUGAAUACAUUAGCAUGGAAUAAUGAAAUAGGGCGUUUGAUUCUAUUUUGUUGGUUUCUAGGAUCGACGUAAUGAUUAAUAGGGAUAGUUGGGGGCAUUAGUAUUCAAUUGUCAGAGGUGAAAUUCUUGGAUUUAUUGAAGACUAACUACUGCGAAAGCAUUUGCCAAGGAUGUUUUCAUUAAUCAAGAACGAAAGUUAGGGGAUUGAAGACGAUCAGAUACCGUCGUAGUCUUAACCAUAAACUAUGCCGACUAGGGAUCGGAUGAUGUUAAUUUUUAAUGACUCAUUCGGCGCCUUACG
rnacentral:rRNA from 1 species